CCCCGAGGCGGCGGCGGGGCUUACGGUGGACCAGUACGGGAUGCUCUACAAAGUGGCAGCACCACCUGCCACCUUCUCCCCCACGGGCCUGCACCCCGUGGUGAACGUGAGCCCCCUGUCCCCCGCCUUCAACGUGAGCUCACCCAUCAUUCAGCACCCGGGGGUGCCCUUCCCCCCCAUCCACUACGCGCAGAUCCCUCCGGCCUCCCUGCAGCUCAUCGGGUCCCACUACACAGUGCCCUAUGCCGUCCCUCCUGCCUUCCUGCCUAGUCCUCUCCUGUCUCCUUCCACCAACCUCGCUGCCCCCCACGUCCCCCACUUUGUGCCAUAUGCCUCCCUGUUUGCGGAAGAAGCUACUCCUUCCCCUCAGACUACCUCUCCCACCCACAGCUUCAACAAAUCCGCCUCUGCAGCCUCUCCUGGGCAGGUGCAGCACCACUCUGUGCCCCAGCUGGACAUGGCCCCGGGCAGGAUUCCUGUUUAUUAUCAGAUGUCCCGCCUUCCACCAGGGUAUGCGGCCUAUGAGGCACCUGCAGCAGGCGGGAGCCCAGUGUCUCCUCAGCAGGACAGUCAGCUGAGCUCAGAGGUGGCUGCAGCCAACGGUGGGCAGAGGCCCCUGGAGCAAAGCAUGGCCAGGAGGCUCAGCGAGGCCGUGGACUCUGCCAGCAGUGCAGCUGAGGACUGUCAGCCCCCAGGGGCUGCAGCAGGAGGUGUGGGUGACGGACAGUUCCUUCCAGGUUACCAGAUGCUGGGAAGAGAGAUCUCUGUGCCAGCUCACAGGAGCACCCCAGACACUGAUCUGGAGGUUCAGAGGGUGGUGGGAGUGCUGGCAUCUCAGGAUUAUCAUGUUCUGGCAGCCCAGAGGAAAGAUGAUCCGAGCCCUUUGAACCUUUGCCAUAAUAUCCCUGAUGGGCAGGAAGACAUGCUGAGAAACACCGUGGAUAGGGCUGGGAACAGCCAGUCCCGGAGCCCGUGUGGAAUGUCCCCCGAGGAGGCUGUUAGACAGAGACAGUUAACCAAAGGAAUGGUGGUAGCCAACGGCAAGCCAAUCCUUGUUCCCAUUGGGUCUGAGCCCAUCAGGUCUUCCACUUCAGAAGCCCUGGUGAGGCAGAGCCCAGAUGCACAGGCCCGAGGAAGCGUGCUGGAAAAGGAGCUGGCCCAGCUGCAGCCACCCAGCUCCUCCCAGCUACCCUCUCACUUCAUGAAAGGAGCCAUCAUCCAGCUGGCAACAGGAGAGCUGAAGCGGGUGGAGGACCUGCAGACUCAAGAUUUUGUUCGCAGUGCGGAGGUGAGCGGGGGCCUGAAGAUCGACUCCAGCACUGUGGUGGAUAUUCAGGAAAGCCAGUGGCCUGGGCUUGUCACACUGCAUUUUGUGGUUGGGGAGCAACAAAGUAAAGUGAGCAUUGAUGUGCCCCCGGAGCAUCCCUUCUUUGUGUAUGGCCAGGGCUGGUCCUCCUGCAGCCCGGGGCGGACUGCUCAGCUCUUUGCUUUGCCCUGUCACAGGCUGCAAGUGGGGGAUGUCUGCAUAUCAAUCAGUUUACAGAGCAUGAAUGGCAACUCUGCUUCUCAGGCCAACUCCCCUCUCACAGAUCAGCUGGGAUCUGCCAGGGAGAGAUCGGAACGAACAGCUCAGGGGCUCCGAGAGCCACCUGACAGAGCUGCUGAAAGGAAGAGCCACACGGACAGGGACAGCGCGGCCCAGAGCGCUCGCGCAGAGCCCUCUCAGCCUGAGGCUGGCACUCAGCACAGCUGGGCAGCCCCAGGCUUCCAAAGAUACAGCGUGCAGGCAGAGGAGCCUCGGCCCUCCCUGCUCCGUCCCUCUUUCAUUCCCCAGGAGGUGAAGCUGUCUAUUGAAGGGCGUUCGAAUGCAGGGAAGUGAUCCCGUGGAGGUGUGAGCUGGGGCAGUCCCGGCAGGUGAGCCUCCCCCUCAGGUGGAGGAAUUGCACAGACUCUGACAGGUUCACCAGCAAGGCUGCUCUCUGCCCUGCAGGACUGGCUCUAUUCCAGUUCCGUGGCUGACUCUUGGGGAGUCAGGAGGGCUCCAGUGCCUCAGGGAGCAGCGACAGGCUUAGCUGGGGUGGGGAGCACGGACGUGCUCAUGAGCAUGCAAUGAGAGCAUUCCAGAGGCUGGAGGCUGGGGCUUUCUCCCACCUCCAGGGAUAACUGACUCCCUGCAGGGCAGGGGCUGAGCAUUCAGGACAGGUGGGGAAAUGAGGAGGGCAGACACGGCUUAAGGUAGCAGAUAAAAUUGCUGAAGAUUUUAUUCCUCCUUUCUCAUGAUGGGGAGAGACGGGUCCCCACUGGAGUCUGGGGGCUCUACUCCCAGUAUCCCCUUUCUUCACACAUGCACUUUAAAAGGACCGUUCACUGACGGAGCUCUCGAGGGCAGGACGGAGGUGCUUCUCUGGUGGUUCUGAUUAAUGUCUCUUCCACUGAAUCCAACUGCUCUUUCUUCUUGCAAAGAAUGUACAGAUUUGAAUGAUUCACAGAAAUUCAAGAGGAAGGACCAAAAGGAUGGGUUUGGGUGUAGGUGAAUAGGGAACUUGACCACUUGGGAUGGGACACAAGUUGAGCUGGGAGACAUUUAGUUUCCUGCCAGAAAAUACAUUUGUUUGCCACCAAAUCAAAUCUUUCUUCCCAUGUUAGUAACUUUAAAAAAAAUCCUGGGCUUAUAAAUUUGCAGAGUCUUUGCCUAGGAAUGAAUGGGGUUGGGGUUUUUUGUCUGGUUGGAUUUGGGGGUUUGGUAUUUUGUUAGUUUGUAUUUUUUUAAAGCUGAAUUAAAAUAUAUUCAGCAUUCUCCAGGAAAGGAUGAAAACAUCCUUUUUCUGUGAGAAGACCGAGGCUAUUUUGUAAUUAACUCAGAAAAAAAACCAUUCUGGAUGGCUAAUUCUUCCCUGCAGGCAGUUUCCUGAAUAAGCUCUGGACAAGAGACAAGUGUUUGUGCAUGUGCAGGCAAGGGAAAAGAGGAGAUAAAGCCAGGAAAACAUUGUGGAGUGGGAUGGUUACCUGGGCUUUUCUGCUGGCAGAGAUGUG